GCUAUCCCGACUAACGGAGGGACUGACUCCACGGAGGGUGUAAGACCCGUGUGGGCGCGUGUUAAAGCUGAUUGGGGUUGGCCUCUUUUCCCUGAGAGUCGCGUUGCUCUGGCAUGCAGCGCUAAGCAGGUCGUAAACUCGAUCUAAGGCUAAAUAUUUCCACAGGCCCGAUAGCGAACAAGUACCGUGAGGGAAAGUUGAAAAGCACUCUGAAGAGAGAGUCAAAAGACCGUGAAACCGCUCAGAGUAUAAGCCCAUGGAGCUCGGAAGGCAUACCGCAGUCCUAUAACAAGGUCGGCUUGCAUGAAUGGUCCGUCAGGCAGUGGCAUUGAGUUGAUAACACGCUGACGUGCGGGGGAGGACACUGGUCGCGUAGACGGGCUUCUGCCCGUUUUGCACGGCCAGCUACUCCCUUGAGCACGGACGUUCAAGGGUGCUUGCCGUAUGCGGAAACGCCCACCACGUCUCGUUGCGUGGUCACCCACAGGCUCGACUGUCGAUCGCGUGUUCACCUCGUUCGCAAAGAUGUGUCGAUGGCUGUCCCUGGCCCCCCCUCUAGGGGUCGGGACCGACACUUGCGUUCGAGGCUACUCAUUUUGAACCGGGACGGCGACUGAGAUUAAACCU
rnacentral:rRNA from 1 species